rnacentral:rRNA from 1 species
AUGAAGGUAAUUGGAGGCCUCUUUGUCAAGACUGAGCGAAUAGUUGAAUAUACACUUGCUUUGAAGAUGAGAAACGUGAAGUCUGAAGAAGUUGCUAGCGACAACCAAUUCAGACUCACAACUAUAAAGAAAAAGCAGGCCCAACAUCUUUCCCCUCCAGUGACCUCGCCUUCACCUGCUGCCUGUCAAGUGGAGUGCAGUGCCUCAAUCUCACUUGCACUUCAGCUCUCUCUGCCGCCUUGGACUAUUGCUGCAUGCUCGCUCUUCCUUCUGAACGGCUCCACCACCAGUGAUGCAACACUUGUCUAA